rnacentral:lncRNA from 10 species
GAGCGAUUCUCCUGCCUCAGCCUCCCUAGUAGCUGGGAUUACAGGCACCUGCCACCACACCUGGCUAAUUUUUGUGUUGUUAGUAGAGACGGGGUUUCACCAUGUUGGCCAGGCUGGUAUGGAACUCCUGACCUCAGGUAAUCCACCCGCCUCGGCCUCCUAAAGUGGUGGGGUUACACGUAUGAGCCACCGCGCCCGGCCUCAAGUCUUAAUCAUUCUUUUUCUGUCCUUUAAAGGAGACGUGUCUUUAGGAAGCAGAGAGGGUUCGAUUCUGGACUCCGCCCAUGACUCACUUCUCUUGUAAAGAAAGAGUUGUCCUUCCUGGUACUCCAGGUUUAUGGGAUGCAGGAUAAUGGAGCAUGCUCUAUCUGGGACAUUGCUAGUCUUAUGACAGAGGGAGAAGACAGCGAUGAGUUUUCGAAGAACUCCAGGAAGUGGCUGCAGAGCAAAGUAGGAUCCUGAUACUGAGCUCAAGUGAUUCAGAAUGAAAAGACCUUGGCACAGACCUGUUAAGGAAGCUCCAUAUAAGGUGAAGAAAACAACAUGCUCAGCCAUGUCCUUGCCUUCUGCACACGGUAGUGCAUUCACUGCCUGAGAAUUCAAGGCUAAAACAAAAAGAGGAGCUUUUGUUCCAACAGAUAAGUACUUACCUUUUUCAAAAAAUGCAUAAGCUGUCCUGGGUGUUUAGCAGUUAUUCGCACAGCUUUCCAAAGACUCACAGCAUUUAAAAGCUAACUCUACAGAGAUUCAACAGCUUCUUCCAGAUCCCACCACAGUGGAAAAGAACUCCGGUGUCCUGGCUCCCUGUCCAGCUCUUCUCUCUCCCCUUCCAGCUGCCAGUUCAGCUUUAAGAAGUUCAUUCUCCACAUUCAGAUGCAGGCAAAUGCGUUUGACUUGAGCAUAUUGAUUUCAGGCAGGUGAGAGUGGAUGUAGCGAUUCAGC